rnacentral:lncRNA from 1 species
UUCAUCUUCAUUCAGUGGGUUUCAUGUGACAUUUUGGGGCUGGAAACAUAAUGUGUCAGAAGAUAGCUGCAGCUUCCUACUGCGUUAGUUAUUGUUUCCUUUGUCAGAAGGCCUAAUCAGUUACAUAAAAAAAGAAAGAAGAGAGGAGACAAGAGAAGAAAAGAGAAGAGAAGAGAAGAGAAGAGAAGAGAAGAGAAGAGAAGAGAAGAGAAGAGAAGAGAAGAGAAAAGAAAGGAAAAGAAAAGAAAACAAAAGAAAGGAAAUUACCACGAAACCAGUCCUGGAAAAUGUAAAAUGUUACUUGCAUCAUCAUGUGAAAAAGCUCAAAAGAUGGAAAAAUAUUUUCUAAGUACAUUAUUUGGACAUAAGUAUCUUCCAAU